AUUGAACGCUGGCGGCAGGCUUAACACAUGCAAGUCGAGCGGGGUGAUGGUGCUUGCACUAUCACUUAGCGGCGGACGGGUGAGUAAUGCUUAGGAAUCUGCCUAUUAGUGGGGGGCAACAUCUCGAAAGGGAUGCUAAUACCGCAUACGUCCUACGGGAGAAAGCAGGGGAUCACUUGUGACCUUGCGCUAAUAGAUGAGCCUAAGUCGGAUUAGCUAGUUGGUGGGGUAAAGGCCUACCAAGGCGACGAUCUGUAGCGGGUCUGAGAGGAUGAUCCGCCACACUGGGACUGGGACACGGCCCAGACUCCUACGGGAGACAGCAGUGGGGAAUAUUGGACAAUGGGGGGAACCCUGAUCCAGCCAUGCCGCGUGUGUGAAGAAGGCCUUAUGGUUGUAAAGCACUUUAAGCGAGGAGGAGGCUCUUUUGGUUAAUACCCAAGAUGAGUGGACGUUACUCGCAGAAUAAGCACCGGCUAACUCUGUGCCAGCCGCCGCGGUAA
rnacentral:rRNA from 1 species